rnacentral:rRNA from 2 species
CUCAAAGGAAUUGACGGGGACCCGCACAAGCGGUGGAUGAUGUGGUUUAAUUCGAUGCAACGCGAAAAACCUUACCCACCUUUGACAUGUACGGAAUUCGCCAGAGAUGGCUUAGUGCUCGAAAGAGAACCGUAACACAGGUGCUGCAUGGCUGUCGUCAGCUCGUGUCGUGAGAUGUUGGGUUAAGUCCCGCAACGAGCGCAACCCUUGUCAUUAGUUGCUACAUUUAGUUGGGCACUCUAAUGAGACUGCCGGUGACAAACCGGAGGAAGGUGGGGAUGACGUCAAGUCCUCAUGGCCCUUAUAGGUGGGGCUACACACGUCAUACAAUGGCUGGUACAAAGGGUUGCCAACCCGCGAGGGGGAGCUAAUCCCAUAAAACCAGUCGUAGUCCGGAUCGCAGUCUGCAACUCGACUGCGUGAAGUCGGAAUCGCUAGUAAUCGUGGAUCAGAAUGUCACGGUGAAUACGUUCCCGGGUCUUGUACACACCGCCCGUCACACCAUGGGAGCGGGUUCUGCCAGAAGUAGUUAGCUUAACCGCAAGGAGGGCGAUUACCACGGCAGGGUUCGUGACUGGGGUGAAGUCGUAACAAGG